AUUGAACGCUGGCGGCAGGCCUAACACAUGCAAGUCGAGCGAGCGGCGGACGGGUGAGUAAUGUAUGGGGACUGCCCGAUAGAGGGGGAUAACUACUGGAAACGGUAGCUAAUACCGCAUACUAUCGGAUAACCCAUAUGGGAUUAGCUAGUAGGUGAGGUAAUGGCUCACCUAGGCGACGAUCCCUAGCUGGUCUGAGAGGAUGAUCAGCCACACGGGGACUGAGACACGGCCCAGACUCCUACGGAGGCAGCAGUGGGGAAUAUUGCACAAUGGGCGCAAGCCUGAUGCAGCCAUGCCGCGUGUAUGAAGAAGGCCUUAGGGUUGUAAAGUACUGUCAGUCGGGAGGCGUUACCGACAGACAAAGCGCCGGCUAACUCCGUGCCAGCAGCCGCGGUAAUUC
rnacentral:rRNA from 1 species